AUGGCUAGCUUUUCGAAUCAUGUUAAACGUUGUGGCUUAAUAGACAUGGGUUAUAAUGGUCAUGUCUUUACUUGGUGUAAUAAGCGUUUUUCUUCCAUGCCUACUGAUGAGCAUCUUGCUCGUUGCUUUGCUAAUGCAGAAUGGUGUAAUGAGUUCCCUAAUACCGUUUACAACCUUCCAAUUAUGUAAAAUGAUCAUGCACCAAUUUUAACGACAUCCAUACCGAUGAUGUAG
rnacentral:rRNA from 1 species